rnacentral:rRNA from 1 species
GACGAACGCUGGCGGCGUGCUUAACACAUGCAAGUCGAACGGUAAGGCCCCAGCUUGCUGGGGUACACGAGUGGCGAACGGGUGAGUAACACGGGGGUGACCUGCCCCGCACUUCGGGAUAAGCCGGGGAAACUGGGGAUAAUACCGGAUAGGACCGCACCGAGAGGGGGUGGUGGAAAGUUGUUCGGUGUGGGAUGGGCCCGCGGCCUAUGAGCUUGUGGGGGGGGUAAUGGCCUACCAAGGCGGCGACGGGUAGCCGGCCUGAGAAGGUGGACGGCCACAGUGGGACUGAGACACGGCCCAGACUCCUACGGGAGGCAGCAGUGGGGAAUAUUGCACAAUGGGCGGAAGCCUGAUGCAGCGACGCCGCGUGGGGGAUGACGGCCUUCGGGUUGUAAACUCCUUUCACCAUCGACGAAGGUUUUCAGACGGUAGAUGGAGAAGAAGCACCGGCUAACUACGUGCCAGCCGCCGCAGUAAGAC